rfam:Gossypium raimondii Chr10_contig_948, whole genome shotgun sequence.
AUCUGAUGAUGGGGAAAACUGGCACACAAUCGUUUGAACCUCUCCCAAUACUCAUACAAAGUCUCUCCAGUAAGCUGCGUUAUGCUAUAAAUUUCCUUCCUAAUGUU